rnacentral:rRNA from 1 species
AUUGGGCGUAAAGAGCUCGUAGGCGGCUUGUCGCGUCGGGUGUGAAAGACCGGGGCUUAACUCCGGUUCUGCAUUCGAUACGGGGCUAGCUAGAGUUCGGUAGGGGAGAUCGGAAUUCCUGGUGUAGCGGUGAAAUGCGCAGAUAUCAGGAGGAACACCGGUGGCGAAGGCGGAUCUCUGGGCCGAUACUGACGCUGAGGAGCGAAAGCGUGGGGGAGCCGAACAGGAUUUAGAUACCCCUGGUAGUCCACGCCGUAAACGGUGGGCACUAGGUGUGGGCGACAUUCCACGUCGUCCGUGCCGCAGCUAACGCAUUAAGUGCCCCGCCUGGGGAGUACGGCCGUCAAGGCUAACACUCAAAGGAAUUG